GAGACUGGGGAUGGUGGCUGGGGGUGGUAGGGGAAAGGAAGAGAGUAGGGCGAGGUAGUGGGCAGCUGUAGCGCACGGGUCCGAGAGGCUUAGAGUGGCGAGUUUCCUUUUUACCCCUGAGCUAAUGGAGAAAAGAGGGGUUGGGGCGCGAGAGGGGGAGGGAAGGGAGUGUGUUGGCAGGACCAGUGACUGCAGCCUGCAUCCGGCCGGCUAAGGUCCUGAGGAGGAACGAAGCAGAAGCGGGUUUCAGCCCAGUCGUUAUAUUCUUUGACAGAACUCUUCACCCAGGCGUAUCUGAUCUUCGGCACUGCCAGGACGCUUCCGUUUAAAGACGCAAAUAGUUUUAAAAUCUAUUUUCUAAGAAGCGAGAUGUCAAGUAUGAAGAACAACAAGCAAAAUGAUUUGGCCAGACCAUUGCAAAUGAAUGAAUAAAUGAAUUUAUAUAGCACUUUAAA